rnacentral:lncRNA from 1 species
GCGUCAUUAUGGAGGAAAGGGUAAUACGAAUGAAGUAAAGUGGAUGGCGUCAUUAUGGAGGAAUGGGUAAUACGAAUGAAGUAAAGUGGAUGGCGUCAUUAUGGAGGAAAGGGUAAUACGAAUGAAGUAAAGUGGAUGGCGUCAUUAUGGAGGAAAGGGUAAUACCAAUGAUUUGUAAAGUGGAUGGCGUCAUUAUGGAGGAAAGGGUAAUACGAAUGAAGUAAAGUGGAUGGCGUCAUUAUGGAGGAAAAGGAAUACGAAUGAAGUAAAGUGGAUGGCGUCAUUAUGAGGAAGGGUAAUACGAAUGAAGUAAAGUGAUGGCGUCAUUAUGGAGGAAGGUAAUACGAAUGAAGUAAAGUGGAUGGCGUCAUUAUGGAGGAAAGGGUAAUACGAAUGAAGUAAAGUGGAUGGCGUCAUUAUUGAGGAAAGGGUAAUACGAAUGAAGUAAAGUGGAUGGCGUCAUUAUGGAGGAAUGGGUAAUACGAAUGAAGUAAAGUGGAUGGCGUCAUUAUGGAGGAAUGGGUAAUACGAAUGAAGUUAAGUGGAUGGCGUCAUUAUG